AGCAACUCAACAUCAUGGAAGCCAAGCAUGGACUGUACUUACAUUAUCUCAGAAUUUCCCUACUGUCCCACUUCAUUGGUGCUGUGCCGAGUUGUCUAAUAGGUUGUAAAACCAUUUUCAACAGAAGAGCAAGUCUGGAAAGAAUUUAAGCCCCGAGUGGCUCUUGCUGCCUCUGCUUUGUGCUGGGAAAGGAGGUGAACCCAAUUAGAGAUGAGUCUCUACAUGAGCAAAAGACGAGAAGAAUCAGAUUCCCACAAGAGGAAACGUGACAGAUGUGUAACCAGCUAAAUGCUGACCAAUCACAUUUGAAGAGGAGAAGGGCAAGUCGUGGCCAAAAUAGGCUGUCAUUGGAGCUGCACGAGAUCGGUCAAAUGAAGUCUGGCUGUCUUAGUUAACUGCAAUGUCAACUGCUGUGAUAAAGCCACCAGAGAAUUUGGUUGGCUUAACACAAUCACAGUCUAUUUAUUUUAAAUUACUAGUCCAUUGCAGGUGUUCCUGCUUGAGCAGACUUCUUCCAAGUGGUGAGUGAGAGAUCCAGGUUCCUUGCCAAAUUGGUGUUCUGCCAUCGUCAACACCUGUUUCCCAAGGUGUCCUUGUUUUCGUUGGUUGGUUUUUGGCUGUCGAUGUUUUUGUUGCCUUUGUUUCAAUUCCAUACAGCUGAAAGGGAAAAAAAGCACAUGCCCGCUUCCCCACGGGAGGUUUCCACGGUGCACACCCUUCCACUCACAUUCCUUUGGCCAGAGCUGAACCACGUUGACACAUCGAACUGUAAGACCAGCUGGAAGGUAGUCAAGCUGAGAAGAGGGAGAAAUUGGUUUGGUAUCACUUAUCAGUCUCUCUCUACUGAUAAAACCAUCUGUUGAUGCUUGUGUUAAGCAAUGAGAAUACACAUCCAUUGCUGCCAGGACUGCAAAUUGGUACAAUCACUUUGGGAAUUCACUUAGCACCAUCUUGUAAAGCGGAACAUGACCCUCCAAUUCCCCUUGCUGGUGUAAACUCUAGAGAAACUCUUGCAUAUGAGUCCAUGGGUAAGCGUGUUCUCAGCAGUAAUAUCUGCAAUCGUGAAAACCUGAAAAUAACCCAAAUGUUUACACAGACAGGAGAAUGGAUAUAUAAAGUGUGGAAUAAUCACACAAAGGCAUAUGGCACAAAAGCAAAACGAAUAAACUAAACUUACAAGCAGCGUCAUGGUAAAUCUUAGAUGUUCAGUGUUGAGACGAAAAAUAUCCAGAAGACCAGACAGUGUACUAUCAAUGAAUGCAAUUCAAAAGUAAACAGAACUGAACAAUAAUGUAUUGUUUAAGAAUACUGAGAUCUGUGCCAAAACUAUCACUACAUUCUUAUUACACACAAAAUUCAAGAAAAUAGUUAACUUGGUGGCAGGGGUUUCAUGAGGUGUGUUUGCAGGAAAGGGAGCCCAGAGAGUAAUAAUUAUUGAGGAAUGUUCUAGAUGUUUGAAGUGGGUGGUAGGUCCUUGCUUGUUUUGUAUUUUGCUUCAUACCUUUGCAUAUUCAUACCUUCAUGCCAUCGCAUAUGUUCCUUAGGAGAUCCCCAACAUUUCACAUGCAAAGUAAGUUAGUUUUAGAUGCAGUGAGUCACUUUUGGAUGAUUUCCCACCCUCUAAUAAUUCCUCACCCUUGAAAGAAUCCCUUUGACUCCAGAGUGGUUUUUCUGUGACUGUUUUGUGCCGUCAGCGUCCUUUGUAGGGCUUCUUGACCAAGAGGUGGAAAUUGGAUUCAUCCUGGAAUGAAGAAGCUCCUGGAACUCUUUCAGACUCAUGGCAGAAUGAAACACACCCUUCUCCCUUCCAUUACUCUGCUCUUGAAAAUUGUAUCUCCUUGCCUCUCUCUUGAGGAGACUCUGUUGGAAGAGUCCUGCCCCAGCACGGAGUCUGCCCUCCACCAAAUACCGUUGAGUAUUUUGGAGUGAACAUCAGGCAUUAGAAGCAGACCUUAGAGAGGGACUGUGGAGGCUUGUGCUUCAUGGACAAAAGGAACUGAGUCUCAGGAAAGACCCUCAAAGGGAAGAACAGAGAAGACCUUAUCUGCUGGCUGACGCCUGUCUGCCAUUGUGUAAAGACUCCUCCUCCUCAUGGGGUCUCAACCUCCCUGUGCUGUUGGGUUGCCAUGUCUCAGGUCAAAAGGAAAGAUGCUGUCCGCAAUGACAAGUUCAAGUACCACUUAUUCAUCAAUGACUUAUAUAUAUUCAAAUAUAUUUUACGGAUAUAAAAUACCUCUGUACAUAUAUACAUUUAUGCCCGUAUUAAUAUAUAUCCAUAUUCAUAUAUAUAUAUAUAUAUAUAUAUCAGGUAUAUAUACAUCAAACUUUUCCCCUCUACUUUAGACUCCAUUUGGAAUGACCCUAUCAUAUCUUUGGUUGCAUGUCUUCAACCACUGGUUCUCAAACUUUUUGGUCUCAGGAAUCCUUCCCAUUAUUAAAAAUUACACAAAGACCCCAAAGAGCUUUUGUUUAUGGGCAUUGUAUCUAUCAGUAUUUACCAUAUUACAGAUUAAAACUGAGAAAUUAAAAACACAUUGAUGAAUUCAUUUUAAAGUUAUAAAAAUCAUAUAUUUUUUCAUGAAAAAGAAUAUUUUUUCAAAAUGGAAAAAAGAAAAUACUGAGCAGAGUGGCGUUUGACAUUUUUACCAACUGAGUUUGCGUAUCUGUUUUGGCAUCAUCUCUGGUCGACAUGCUGCUUUGUUUAAAGUGUGUGAAAAAUGAUUCAGCCUCCUACAGAUACAUCAUUGAAAGAGGUAGGCAUAUUUUCAUAGUCUUUUUAGAUUAUCCUGGAGAUUCUUUGAGACCACACCAAAACUUGACCUCUUGUGGGUUCUUAAAGGGUAGUUGCCAUGACCAGUGUGAAAUCCUAUCAAGCAUGUUUUCACACUCGGUCAAAUUAAAAUCCAUUGGUCUCCCUGGCACUUUGAAGCAUCUUUUACCAGUGUGUGAGUUGCAGCCAUCUUUUGUAAAUAUCAGUGCCUAAAUUUGCAGAUAUUCCAAGUAUUGAUACUUUGUUACAAGAUAUCAAAAAAUCGCACUUUCUAUUAUCACCAGCAAUCUCAUGCAGAGUCUUUAAGCCCUGGGAAUCUGUCAAACUCACAGGAAAAGAGUGAAAAGGGAUUUGAGCCAUAAAAUCCCAUUAAUACUGAUCGGUGAACCAGGUCCUGUCAAGGGUGCUUCCCACCCAAGCCUCCAGUGUCUCAAAGAAGCCAUCAUCCAGUUGAAAGAGGCAUGGGACAAGAAAAUAAAGAAAUAAAACAGUGUAGUAGGCAGAACUCUAAAACGACCAGCAGAUCCCUGGCCCCUAUAGUGCACACACCUUCUUCACGUGAUUCAGUCAAAUUCUAGGCUAGAGGCUGAUGUGAAGGACUUUGCUUCUGUAAUUAUUGUCCCCAGUCAGUUGACUUUAACAUAGGGAGAGUAUCUGGGUGAGCCUGACCUAAUCAGGUGAGACCGUACAAAGAAAUGGGACUCUUUUUUGGUGAAAGAGACUCAAUGCCAGAGAAAUUCACAGCAUGAGGGGUAUUCCACGUGAGGGGGAUUCUCCGUUGAUGAUUUGAAUGUGGGUACCUCUAUGAGCUGAGAGCAAACCCCAGCUGACAGCCAGCAAGGAAAUGGAGAUCUCAGCCCAACCACACAUGGGACCGAAUUCUUCCCACAACUGCAUGAACUUGGAGGAGGUACCCAAACUCAGAUGACAAGGCUGCCUUGAAUUUGGCCUGGCGAGGACCCAGCCAUGCCGUACCCGGUCUUCUGACCUAUAGAACUGUGAGCUAAUGAACACGUGUUGUUUUAAGCUGCUGUGUUUGUGGCAAUUUUUAAGGCAGGCAUAGGAAAUUGAUGCAAACAGUUUUGUAAAGGCUUUUUGUGAAAGAAUUUUGAGAAUUUUAUUGGGAAUCGACACUGACUGGAAGCAAAUUGAUCAGAUACCCACAAGUUUUUAAGGGAAUCCUAUUUUUACAGAAACAAGGAGCCUAUGACCAUCUUCGUGUUUCCAAAGGUCCAUGAGCAGAAGUGGGCACAGAACUCAAACAGCCCCUAGGAGGACAAGAGAUGAUAAGGUGGACCCUGACGAUGCCAUGAUUUCCAUACACCAGAUUGCUGGUCUCUCAUUCUUUUCCUUUCUGAAAGGGAGGCAUGUUUUCAGCGUUUGAAUUUUCCAGCUGCCAUUAUUCAUCAGAAUAAGGAAAAUAGACAGCUCGUCUUUGACUUUACAGACCCCUGGACUAUAAGGAACCAUGGCUUUGUAGGGAUGAGGAAACGAAGGCUUGUGCGCCAAAUCUGGCCCUCCACUUGUUUGUAUAAAUAAAGUUUUAUUGACACACAGCCACACCCAUUUAUUUGUGUUUUAUCUAUGACUGCUUUUGCACUACAGUGGGAUAGUUGAGUCCCUGCAACAGAGAACCUACGACCCAUGAAGCUGAAACUAUUUACUAUCUGGCCCUUUACAGAACAGGUUUACCAACUCCUGGUCUAGACCCAAUUCACAUAUUUUGGUAAAAAAGGUCUCCCCUCAAUUAACUCAUGUGUUCCUGUGGACAUACUCAAAUAUCUACAGAAAAAGAGCCUCCCUGGAGGACAUAAAUUGUUGCUGUGCCCAAUAAUAGAAAUAGUAAUCACAUGCAUACUUCAAUUCUGUUUAUCUACACACCUUCUAGGACUCCAAUCAAUCAACAACCAACAAAAGAAAAUUCAAACUCUGGUCGUCUGGAUAUUUGUGAUAAUUGAGUUUCCUCUGGGUGUAAGGAAACAUCCAACACUGAAUUCUUCUCUAUGGCUGGUCCUACUUUUAUUAAACUUGGACAUUUUUGACAACUUGUUCAGAAUCAUACUUUCUACUUUGCUUGGAGACAAUUGCCAUCGUCUUUCCCUAGAUCAAAACUAUGUGCAAUUAUCUUCUGAUCUGUCCCAGGAAAUGGGAGGUGCCCAGGAGGUCCCUUGAUCGAAUCACACUAACAAGAUAAGAGAGCAGAUCAAUAGCGCGAUUAAUCGCUGGAGUGCCUCUUCACCCUGAACGCUUCGCUGAGCCGAGUUGGUGAAAACAUUCCGACUGAAAUGAUACAGCCCAUUCUGACCGCCCUUUGACGUUGCAAAUGAAGUAUUGAUUAUCUAUACUCAACCUCAGUUCUGGCUUUGCUUAAAACUUUGUGUUUUGUGGGAAAGGCUGUUUGGUAUCAAGUCUUGAUUCCGUAAGCCUUAGGGUGGCAACAGCCUGGUUAAACCAGUGGCAUGCCUCGUUGAAGCACGAUGCUUGGGUUCCUGUGCUAUUUUUCGUGGGUGGCUGGAGGACGUUCUAACAUGGGGGGCCUCAUCUUUUCUUGGAUUCUUUGUUCUCCAAGACGAACCCAUUUCCUGCAGCUUUUGGUGACUGCUGAAGCCAUGUCCUUAUUAAAAGUCUUGGCUAAUGUGGUAAGCCAAAAAGGUAUCUACUUUUUCACUUGCAUUCCUUUUAUUUCCAUCCAUUUUUAAAAAGAAGAGUCCUUGUGAGAAACCCCUCAGUCUCAGCCUAGGAAAGAGUUACUCUCCCUCACACAGUCCCGGACUACAAACCUUUGUUCCAGCUACUUUACUUGGUCCCAGCUGUUUUAAAAUAGGAACACGUGUGUCCUAUUAUGUGUUGAUUGAUGGGCAGAGAAUUUCCUUAGUUGUCGGUCAUUUUGGGCCUCUCUACCACACCACAUUACACAAGCACAUGCACCACGUGCUCAUGCACACACAUGACACAGACUACACACAUACAUUCAAGCCCCACACAAAUGCUUGUGCAAGCACACAUGCCACGUGCGUACACACAUACCAUACACACACAAGACACAUUCACGUGCACAAGACAGACCACACACACACACCCCCACAUACAUACUUGUUUGUAAAUAUCAGGCACAUGCACACAUCACAAACUCGUGCACACACACACAUAACAUGCACAUAUGCAUGUGCUUACAUACACAUGAUACUCACACACCAGGACACACACAUGCCCAUAUUCACACAUCUGCACACACACCACAUAUGUGCACAUGUGCAUGUACUCCUAAACACUCCCAAAUGCACUUCUUAUAACUGAAGUGUGAAAAGCCGUUUCAUAAAUUUAAAUUUAAUUUAUACAAUUUAAUUUAUGUGAUGUAAUUUAUAUAACGUGUGAAUUUAAUUUAUACAAUGUAAGUAAAAAAUGCUUGAAGAAACAUUUAACCAUUUUCCUCCAAAAAUUCACUUUUUUUUUUUUC
ensembl:lncRNA